AGUGAACGCUGGCGGUAGGCCUAACACAUGCAAGUCGAACGGCAGCACAGUAAGAGCUUGCUCUUACGGGUGGCGAGUGGCGGACGGGUGAGGAAUACGUCGGAAUCUACUUUUUCGUGGGGGAUAACGUAGGGAAACUUACGCUAAUACCGCAUACGACCUACGGGUGAAAGCAGGGGAUCUUCGGACCUUGCGCGAUUGAAUGAGCCGAUGUCGGAUUAGCUAGUUGGCGGGGUAAAGGCCCACCAAGGCGGCGAUCCGUAGCUGGUCUGAGAGGAUGAUCCGCCACACUGGAACUGAGACACGGUCCAGACUCCUACGGGAGGCAGCAGUCGGGAAUAUUGGACAAUGGGCGCAAGCCUGAUCCAGCCAUACCGCGUGGGUGAAGAAGGCCUUCGGGUUGUAAAGCCCAUUUGUUGGGAAAGAAAAGCAGCAGGUUAAUACCCCGCUGUUCUGACGGUACCCAAAGAAUAAGCACCGGCUAACUUCGUG
rnacentral:rRNA from 1 species